GAGCCAGGCUGAGGGUCCGGCAAAGGGCGGGUCCUCCCCCGGUCUACCCUCUCCCGUCGGAAGCUGAGCGCACAGCAGAAGAGCCGCCAGCUAAACCUUCGGAACAAUUUCUUCAGGGCAGAAUCUGCUCCCACCUCUUCCCAUCGUGUCUCCCCACCAGGUUCCUGACUCCCCUCGGCUCCGUCUUCGCCUUCGCCACUAGGGAGGCCUUCACCAAGGUGACAGACCUGGAGGCUCGGGUGCACGGCCCGGACGCGGAGCACUACUGGUCGCUGGUGGCCAUGGCGGCG
rnacentral:lncRNA from 1 species